AUUGAACGCUGGCGGCAGGCUUAACACAUGCAAGUCGAGCGAGCGGCAGACGGGUGAGUAUUGUCUGGGAAACUGCCUGAUGGAUGGGGGUAACUACUGGAAACGGUAGCUAAUACCGCAUACCGUCAGCUGUGCCCUGAUGGGAUUAGCUAGUAGGUGGGGUAAUGGCUCACCUAGGUGACGAUCCCUAGCUGGUCUGAGAGGAUGACCAGCCAAACUGGAACUGAGAAACGGUCCAGACUCCUACGGGAGGCAGCAGUGGGGAAUAUUGCACAAUGGGCGCAAGCCUGAUGCAGCCAUGCCGCGGGUGGGAAGAAGGCCUUCGGGUUGUAAAGCACUUUCAGCGAGGAGGCGUUACUCGCAGAAGAAGCACCGGCUAACUCCGUGCCAGCAGCCGCGGUAAUAC
rnacentral:rRNA from 1 species